CGCCAACCGGGACCCUGGGAUCCUGCCCGGAGAGGAGCGCGUCCGUGCCCCGGGACCCCCCCGACCCCGCACUGCUCCCAUCCCAGGCAGGUCUCCAGGAACUCCUCGAAGGUCACCACGCCGUCGCCGUUCCUGUCCAUCUUCUGCGGGGCAAGAGACGGGGCUCGGCGGGGACUGUCCCGGACCCGGUGCCGGUGCCGGUGCCGGCCCCGCUGUGUUUGCUGGGUCGAGGCGGGGCGUCCUCACCUGGAAGAAGAGCUCCACGUGCUCGGCGGGCGCGCUGUCCCGCGGCGCGGGCCGGGUGCAGCGCCCCAUCAUGUCGUAGAUGGACUUCAUGAUCUGCAGCAUCUCCUGAGCGGGGACAGAGCGGGGCUGUGGUGACGGGGACACCCCCCGCUGAGGGCACCCCUGUCCCCAGCGCCCACCCCCUGGGGUGCUCCCAGCCUCGAGUCACCUCCUUGGUGAUGCAGCCGUCUUUAUUGAUGUCGUAGAGGUUAAACGCCCAUCGCAGCUUCUGCUGCACCGUCCCUCGCAGCAGCACCGAGAGCCCCAGGACAAAAUCCUGCCGGAGGAACCGCGGUUGUGAGCGGGAACAUCCCGAUGAGACCGCAGGGAUGGGACCCUCAUCUCCCCCCCUCCUCCGGCGCUGCCACCGGAUGCCCCGGUGGGAAUUGUGUGUUUUAUCCCUAUUGAUCCCGUUGCCACUCUCGCUCGCAGCUAUUUUUAAUCCCCGCGGUGAAGCCGGUGCCGCAGUGCCGGCAUCAACCCCGGCACCGGCUCCACACAGAGCGGAGCUGCGAUCCUGGAGGAAGAGCUCAUGGAUCACCUGGAAGCAGAGGGCCCCGUUGCGGUCAGCGUCGAAGGCGUCGAACAAGAAGCGCGCGUAGGUGCUGGCGUCUGCGGGGGGAGCGGGAGCCGGUGAAGCCGCCGCAUCCCGGCCCCCGUUCCCAUCGGCAUCGCCCGCCGCCACUCACCGCCUUGCGGGAAGAACCGGGAGUAGAUGAGCGUGAAGGUCUCCUCGUCCACGAGGCCGCUGGGACACUCCUGGCAGGGAAGCGGGCGCCCGGUGAGGCCGUGGCUCGGGCGCAGCCGCGCUCGGGGUGAGGGCCCCCCCGACUCACGCUCUUGAAGCCGCGGUACAGGGAUCGCAGCUCCCGCUUGGAGAACUUGGUCCGUGCCAGCAGCUGCUCCAGCUCCUCUGGUUGGUGCCGCGCGGCCGCCAGCUCCAGCUCGGCAUCGCCGCCGUCUGCCCCCAGCAGUGGGGCUUCUCCGCAUCAUUCCAGCCUCAUCCCACCCAGAUCCUCCCCCCCACCCCCCCCCCCCGGACCUGCUGGGGGACCCCAAACACCCCUUGUGCUGGGGGGAAAAGGGGCAGCUCCGGGUUGAACAUCCCGAGGGGAAGGCGCCCGAUCCCAGGGUUUCCCCUGGAGCCUCCAGCAGCGCAUUCCCGGGGUGUGGAACAUCUCGCUCCGGCCCCGCUAAUGCUGCCUCCCGCCCCGGCGGAAGGUAAUUAAUAAAUGAUGCCUCAUUAAUAA